GUUACUGACUUUCACAUCAUCUUUGUACAAAUAUGUCUGGAUCUGGACUAACGUGUGCCGUAAUCGGAUGUCACAAUAACAGCAGAAAGCUAAAAAUGUGGAAAAAGAGCGUAUGUGCGCUUCAUAGUCCACAGUUUAAAGAGGAUUGUCCUUGUUGUGUGCCCUACGGUGUACACCGCUUCCCCGGCCGUGCUGAGGAUGAAGACAUUCGCAAGAUGUGGAUUAAAAACGUACACCGAAAGGACUUUGCCCCCAAACAAGUAUUCAAGGGUGUGUGGAGUACACUUCCCUGACGGCAGACCAACGCAGGAACACCCAUGAAUAUAGUAAAGCACCAUCAUGUGGAAGACCACCUCAAAGAGGAGAUGUCUCCAGCCCCCAACAGAGAGACCAUGUGAUGAGCCUCCUGUGACAGAUUCUGACACCGAAGUAGGGCAUAGCUUGGAGGAUAGUCUGUCUCCACACCAAUGUGAUGUUGGCACUCAGUGGCCAGAGCGUAGUGAUCAUGAUUAUUGUUCGAUGAAGUCAACAAAAGAUGCAAGCACACAAACAGAUCCUACACCAUCACUGUCAGCUCAUGACAUGGAUGAUAAAGUGUCAAAAUUUUACACUGGACUAGACAUCAUCAGCUUUUGGCAACUUUUGAACACCAUCAUUGGCUUUCUUCCACAGUCGAAGACGUUCAAAUUACCAGUCCAUGAACAGCUACUGCUGGUCCUAAUGAGGCUUCGGCUUGGCUACAGCCUGUGAUAUGUUCGCAAUGUGGAGAGCAACACUUGCCAAUUUCACAAGGGAAAAUCUUAUGUUUUGGCUCCCUCGAGACACUCUGAAUAGAGUAAGACCCUCAAGUUUUCUUGAACACUAUCCCAAUGCAACAUGCAUCAUAGAUUGCACUGAAAUAUUUGUCCAAAGACCGAAGAACUUGGGGAAAAGAGCAAAAACAUACAGCAACUAUAAGCAUCACAACACCUACAAAGUCCUCUAUUGCAUAGCCCCCAAUGGUUUUGUGAUGUAUGUGUCAAAACUGUUUGGUGGCAGAGCUAGUGACACUUUUAUCACAAACUGUGGAUUUCUGUCACAUUUGAUUUUUGGUGAUCAGAUUUUGACAGACCGGGGAUUCACAAUUGGAGAUGUUCUUCCUCCAGGAGUGACAUUGGCUAUUCCAGCAUUUACACGUGGAUGUACACAACUAUCAGAACAUGAAGUCACAAGAACCCGCUGUCUCGCCAAUGUCCGAAUUCAUGUUGAACGUGCAAUAAGAAGGUUAAAAUGCUUCAAAAUUUUGAGUAAUGUAAUUUCAGGUUGAUUAAAACAUGUUGAUGACAUUUUGA